GACGAACGCUGGCGGCGUGCUUAACACAUGCAAGUCGAACGGUGAAGGGACUGGUUUUGCUGGUCCUGGAUGAGUGGCGAACGGGUGAGUAACACGUGAGUAACCUGCCCCCUUCUUCUGGAUAACCGCAUGAAAGUGUGGCUAAUACGGGAUAUUCUGGGUCUGUCGCAUGGUGGGCCUGGGAAAGAUUGCGCCUUUUUUGGUGUUUUUGGUGGGGGAUGGGCUCGCGGCCUAUCAGCUUGUUGGUGGGGUGAUGGCCUACCAAGGCGGUGACGGGUAGCCGGCCUGAGAGGGUGGACGGUCACACUGGGACUGAGACACGGCCCAGACUCCUACGGGAGGCAGCAGUGGGCAAUAUUGCACAAUGGGCGCAAGCCUGAUGCAGCGACGCCGCGUGAGGGAUGGAGGCCUUCGGGUUGUGAACCUCUUUCGCCAGUGAAGCAGGCCUGCCUCUUUUUGUGGGUGGGUUGACGGUAGCUGGAUAAGAAGCGCCGGCUAACUACGUG
rnacentral:rRNA from 1 species